CUCGUAGGCGGCCAACUAAGUCGGACGUGAAAUCCCUCAGCUUAACUGGGGAACUGCGUCCGAUACUGGAUGGCUUGGAUUCGGGAGAGGAAUGCGGAAUUCCAGGUGUAGCGGUGAAAUGCGUAGAUAUCUGGAGGAACACCGGUGGCGAAGGCGGCAUUCUGGACCGACAUUGACGCUGAGGAGCGAAAGCCAGGGAGCAAACG
rnacentral:rRNA from 1 species